GUGAUGUGUUAGACCCGAAUUGCCAACCCAAGAGAUCUAGUUAUGGGUUACCUGAGGACAAAUUUAUAUUUGCUUGUUUUAACCAGCUAUACAAGAUGGAUCCUGAUAUUUUCAAUACAUGGUGCAACAUCCUUAAGCGAGUACCAAAUAGUGCACUUUGGCUUCUCAGAUUUCCUGCUGCUGGCGAGUCGAGACUCUGCAAUUAUGCUGUUCAAAGAGGUGUACAACCAGAUCAGAUUAUUUUCAGAGAUGUUGCCAUGAAGGGUGAACAUAUCAAGUGCAGUGCUUU